ACGGGAGGCAGCAGUGGGGAAUAUUGCACAAUGGGCGAAAGCCUGAUGCAGCAACGCCGCGUGAAGGAUGAAGGUCUUCGGAUCGUAAACUUCUGUCCUUGGGGAAGAAACAAAUGACGGUACCCUUGGAGGAAGCCCCGGCUAACUACGUGCCAGCAGCCGCGGUAAUACGUAGGGGGCAAGCGUUAUCCGGAAUUACUGGGCGUAAAGGGUGCGUAGGUGGUUUUGUAAGCGUGGGGUGAAAGGCACCGGCUCAACCGAUGUUAGCCUCGCGAACUGCAUUACUUGAGUGCAGGAGGGGAAAGUGGAAUUCCUAGUGUAGCGGUGAAAUGCGUAGAUAUUAGGAGGAACACCAGUGGCGAAGGCGACUUUCUGGACUGUAACUGACACUGAGGCACGAAAGCGUGGGGAGCAAACAGGAUUAGAUACCCUGGUA
rnacentral:rRNA from 1 species